GACCCGUCUUGAACCAAGGAGUCUAGCAUGUGCGCGAGUCAUUGGGAACAUCUAAACCUAAAGGCGCAAUGAAAGUGAAGGUUCCGCCUCGAGCGGACCGAGGGAGGAUGGGCGGCGGGCUUUUGUACGUCGCCUCGCACUCCCGGGGCGUCUCGCACUCAUCGCGAGGCGAGGCGCACCACGAGCGUACACGCUGGGACCCGAAAGAUGGUGAACUAUGCCUGGUCAGGACGAAGUCAGGGGAAACCCUGAUGGAGGUCCGUAGCGAUUCUGACGUGCAAAUCGAUCGUCGGAACUGGGUAUAGGGGCGAAAGACUAAUCGACCAUCUAGUAGCUGGUUCCUUCCGA
rnacentral:rRNA from 1 species